UAGUACGAGAGGAACCGUUGAUUCGCACAAUUGGUCAUCGCGCUUGUUGAAAAGCCAGUGGCGCGAAGCUACGUGCGUUGGAUUAUGACUGAACGCCUCUAAGUCAGAAUCCGGGCUAGACCGACGCAUGCCUCGUCGCGUUGCCGACCCGCAGUAGGGCCAUUUGGCCCCCAAGGCACGUGUCGUUGGCUAAGCCGUCGUGGCGGAAGGGUCACGGUGGCCGCCUUGAAUUACAAUUCCGAUCGAGCGGCGAGCUGAAUCCUUUGCAGACGACUUAAAUACGCGACGGGGUAUUGUAAGGGUAGAGUGGCUUGCUGCCACGAUCCUCUGAGAUUCAGCCUUUGUCGCUCCGAUUCGU
rnacentral:ncRNA from 1 species